rnacentral:sRNA from 1 species
UAGCUCAUAUGUUAGUUGAAGAGCAGCUUCAAGCUGGUCAUUUAGAGUCAACACUCAGCCCUUGGAACACACCCAUUUUUGUAAUUAAGAAAAAUCAGGAAAUUGGAGGUUAUUACAAGACGUAAGGGCAAUGAAUCAUGCAAUUCAACCUAAGGGGCUCUACAAGCUGGGCUUCCUUCUCCCACAGCGAUUCCUGUGAACUAGAAUUUGAUAGUAAUAGAUCUAAAAUAUUGUUUUUUCUCCACACAUUGCACCCCAAUGACUGUAAAAAAUUCGCCUUUAG